rnacentral:rRNA from 1 species
CAGUAGCCGCGGGAAUACGAAGGGGGCUAGCGUUACUCGGAAUUACUGGGCGUAAAGGGCGCGUAGGCGGCACGAUUAGUCAGGCGUGAAAUUCCUGGGCUCAACCUGGGGACUGCGCUUGAUACGGUCGAGCUAGAGGAUGGAAGAGGGUCGUGGAAUUCCCAGUGUAGAGGUGAAAUUCGUAGAUAUUGGGAAGAACACCGGUGGCGAAGGCGGCGACCUGGUCCAUUACUGACGCUGAGGCGCGACAGCGUGGGGAGCAAACAGGAUUAGAUACCCCUGUAGUCCCUGUCUCUUAUAC